UACGUAGGGAGCAAGCGUUGUCCGGAAUCAUUGGGCGUAAAGCGCGCGUAGGUGGCCCCAUAAGUCCGCUGUGAAAGUCAAAGGCUCAACCUUUGAAAGCCGGUGGAUACUGUGGGACUAGAGUACGGAAGAGGCGAGUGGAAUUCCUGGUGUAGCGGUGGAAUGCGCAGAUAUCAGGAGGAACACCGAUGGCGAAGGCAGGUCACUGGGCCGCAACUGACGCUGAGGAGCGAAAGCAUGGGGAGCGAACAGG
rnacentral:rRNA from 1 species